rnacentral:lncRNA from 7 species
GGUGAUAUCCUUCCGCCGUCUCCUCAGGACGGGCUGACGCGCUCAGCCGAGCCAGGCCGCGGCGGGAGGAGGAGGGCGGCGUAGAAGAUAGCGAGGUAUCCAUCUGCCUGCCCCUCUGGACAGGCGCACAGCUGCGUAGUCACAAACCUGUCUGCAAAGUGACUUCCAAGUGAGGACUCUUGGAAAUAGUAACUCCUCACUUCAACAUAUUAAUUCUGGGCCACAGCCUCAUGCAGCCAAGCAAUGGGAAGAGGCUCCAUCCCAGAAUAGCCUGUCCUCUCUUCAGGCCUGGAAGGGCUGGGAGAGCUGGAACAUGAUGAGAAAUCUUACUCCUCUGUCAUCUGGCUCGAGGACAAGGAGGAGAGGUCUCUGAAGAAAGUCAGCUCCCAGGGGGCUCACAACUGAGAAGCGUUUCAGCUGCCCAACUGUAAGUGCCUCACUCUCCCCCUCUCAGACCCAGAUGACUUCAUUUUCUUCUGUUGCUACUCCCACUCCCACAUACUCCUGAGAAAAGGACAUCGGUCAUGACAUCAAAGUACAAGAAUCCAUCAAACUGCACUUCUGUAUCUCAUCUUCCCAAGGCUGCACUUGCUCUAUGGUCCUGCUGGCAAGAAGCCACCACAGAAAACAGAUUUACCCUGCUGGGAGCAGCCAGGUCCAAAUCAACAUCAAGCUGAAAUUACUGCAUGGAGCACUAAAAACCUUUGGUUUUGGCUUCUUAUGCAUGCAACUUUUGACUGCAAGCUCUGUCUGAACACGAUCAGCAUUAUUGGUACAACCUGCUCAGGAAACCUCUAAAAAAGAUUGAGCCACUGCUGUAUGAUGAGGGAAGAUGUCUUGAUUUAAGAACACAGGCAUUACUAGAAAGGGAAAAAAUAAAAGGGUCCCUUACUGUUCUGACAUAUCAAAAGCAGACUAAUGAACCACCAGUUCAUAGAAUGACCCUGCUCAUCAUUUCAGAGCCAGGCUGGCCUUUUGUGUUAAGGACACUGAAUAACAAGAGCAAGAACAAACAGAAAGAAUCCUUUCCCCAUGCCCAAAGUAAAUUUUGAAAUGAAAUCAUUUAAAACUACACCCGGCUGCCCUACUUUAAGGUCCACUUAAGAACAGAUGAAAAGUUUUGUUCUAUUGGCAAAACUGAAUCAAGGCUUUUGAUCCUCAAAGAUCUCUUAAUCGCUUUGCACAUCAGUUCUUUUCAUUAUUUCAAACACACUUGAAGACAGCUCCCUUUUUCUCUCUCUCCCUUUUUUUCCCCCCCAAAAAAAACUUCUCUGUGUUUGGGCCAUUUUCCAGCCAACUGUGCCACUACAGCAGAAAGCUGUUGGUUCUUUACUCACUCCAAGUUGCAACAUAUACGCAUUGUGAUUUGCCUUAGGGAAGUCUCAAAAAGCCCGGCCCUUGCAACUAACUGUGCUAGCUCACAGCAUCCACCUCUUCAUCCUUCUAAUGCUUCACAAGAGUUCCAAGGAAGAUUAUAAGCCUCUGG